GGCUACAAAAUUGUUUCGAAAAAUACAGCAAAUGCUGGAAGCUAGAACAGGAAGUUAUAAAUCAGCAUCUUGAUGGUAAAAUGAAAAUCAACAACUAGUAGCACUUCUUUGAAUUGUCUUUAAAUUAGAGUAAUGUUAAUUUUGAUUGGUAUGGAGAUAGAUGCAUACAAUGGAAAACGAACUGCUGUUAUAUUUUUGGAAGAGGUUAAACAACAAGAUGUAAUUCGAGAUAUUGUUUCUAAAAUUCUUAAAGACGUGUUAUUCGUUCAAGUAAACGAUGCUGUUAAAGCAGGUUGUCUGAGCAGUUAAAGAAACUUAAUCAAAUGAUUCAAAAUUCUCUUCUUUAAGCAGCCGAAGCAACGAUACUCGAAAUGCCUGGA